GCCGGGGUGGCGGAAUUGGUAGACGCACAGGACUUAAAAUCCUGAGGAGCGCAAGCUCCGUGCCGGUUCAAGUCCGGCCCUCGGUA
rnacentral:tRNA from 1 species